AAAGACAUGUAGUCUCUGCCAACUUCACCCUCCAUGAGGCUUACUGCCUGCGGUUCCUGGUCCUGUGUCCGGAGUGUGAGGAGCCUGUCCCCAAGGAAACCACGGAGGAGCACUGCAAGGUGGAGCACCAGCAGGCUUAUGGAUCUGGCAUAGGCAAGAGGUUCUGGUUUCAGGAAAGACUGGCUGUUCUCUUGAGAUCUGUAAAGAGAGGAUGUGAAAAAGGAAGGUCCUGGAAGGCAGUCAGAUGGAGCCCUGUUUCCCGCCUUUCCAUGUCCAUUCCUCCUGGGGCCCCUGAUCUGUCUCUCUGGAGAUACUCAAGCUCAGGCAGCCGUUGCCAACUCAGACUGGUCUGAGAAACACUUCUUGAACACUGGGCUGGGUGCUAGAGAGACACUGAGGUAGCCACAUCGGAUCCCUGCCCUCUGGGAGUUCACAGACCCAAACCCGGAACACCGUGAGCCAAAGUGGAUGUAGGGCAGGCUCUGGGUGUUGGGUGGACCCACAUCUGGUGUGUGUGUGUGUGUGUGUGUGUGUGUGUGUUUAGGUUGGGUGUACGAUGUGUCAGCAGAGCAUGCAGAAGUCCUCGCUGGAGUUUCAUAAGGCUUGGAGAGCAGUGGAGAACUAGCCCACCGCAUAACACAGGUCCUCCUGUCCCCCAGAUACUGGUCAGAAGGGUUUUCCAUGGUCCAUGAGUCCAUCAGAGCUCAGAUUCCCCGAAGGCAAUCCCGCAUUCUGGCCCUUCUCAUCUGCUUUCUCGUAUUGGCCCUAAUUCCCUAGGGAGAUGGGCACAAGUCCUUGAUCUGCCUACAGUCAAAGAGGCCAGUGAUCGGCCAGGCGCAGUGGCACACACCUGUAAUCCCAGCACUUUGGGAGGCCAAGGCGAGCG
rnacentral:lncRNA from 1 species